rnacentral:rRNA from 1 species
UACGUAGGGUGCGAGCGUUGAUCGGAAUUACUGGGCGUAAAGCGUGCGCAGGCGGUGAUGUAAGACAGUUGUGAAAUCCCCGGGCUCAACCUGGGAACUGCAUCUGUGACUGCAUUGCUGGAGUGUGGCAGAGGGGGAUGGAAUUCCGCGUGUAGCAGUGAAAUGCGUAGAUAUGCGGAGGAACACCGAUGGCGAAGGCAAUCCCCUGGGCCAGCACUGACGCUCAUGCACGAAAGCGUGGGGAGCAAACAGG